rnacentral:misc_RNA from 1 species
UACGGAGGGUGCAAGCGUUGUCCGGAUUUAUUGGGUUUAAAGGGUGCGUAGGCGGCCUUUUAAGUCAGCGGUGAAAGUUUAGGGCUCAACCCUGAAAUUGCCGUUGAUACUGUAAGGCUUGAGUGUCGAUGGGGUACUUGGAAUUGAUGGUGUAGCGGUGAAAUGCAUAGAUACCAUCAGGAACACCGAUAGCGUAGGCAUUGUACUUACCGGCAACUGACGCUGAGGCACGAAAGUAUGGGUAGCGAAAGGG